rnacentral:lncRNA from 1 species
AUGUUUUAUUUUCCAUUUUCUCCACCUCUUCUUCUCCUUCCUUCUAACUCUCACCUCACUGUUUCCGCCACCGCCAAACCACCUUCCACUAACAACAACCCUCACAAACCUCCGCCUUUUUCGCCUCCAUCCUCUACUUUCCCUCCGACGAACACCUUUCCGCAAUAAACUCCCAAACACCGCCACUACAAACCAUCAUUCUCUCAUCCACCACCAAAUCGCACGACCUUCAUCCUCAUUCCCACAACCACUUUGCAUUCACGACAAUGACACCCAUAAACCCACCGCGUAACCAACAACAAUCGAUAUCCUUCCUAUGAUAACUUUCAAACUCCAAUCCACCGCCUCCAUCUCUCUGUUCCGCUCAAAAUUCUCCGAUCCAACUCCAUUGUUCUCCUUCCUCGACAACACCGAAAAACCGCACUUCAACAUUUCUUCAAUUUGAGAGAUGUGACGACGAGAUUGUGGGUUCACCAAUACAAUUCCCCACACUCCACUACAAGCUUCGUCAACAUGACAAUAACCAUAACGACAUCAUUACGCAUCACUCACCUCUUCCGGCAACAAAACUGAGCAACCAGCCUUCAGCUUCUCACUGACUUCAUCGUCGGGUCUGCAACCGCAACACGGCCUUGUGGUAAUGUUUGAAAAAAAUUCUAUGGAAAUUGUUAUGUUGUCAUUUUUUUGUUCUUUUGCUUGCAACACGGCCUUGUUCAUCGUCGGGUUCUUUUGCUUGCAACUUAAAUUCUACGGCCUUGUGGUCAUUUUUUUGUUCAUCGUCGGGUCUGCAACUGCAACACGGCCUUGUGUUACGUUUCUUUCGUUCCUGUGAUUGUUGGAUUUGAUUUUACUGUUUUGUUUGUUUGUUGCAUAUUCGAUUAAGGAUUUAAGUUGUUAUUCUUGCUACACGUGUGUCUGAACUUGAAUAUAAGCGCUUGAAGGUUUGAAUGAUUCACCUGUUGAUGAUGUUUGUUGGAGAAUUAAAUCAAAACCAAGAUUGGAUUAUCAUGUUUAUUUGUGUUGCUUUUCUGCUAGAUUCCAUAAGCUCCCUAUUAUGGCCUUUUCUUUCAAUUUUAUCUUACCAUCGGUUAGCUUCCCAAUGGGUGAUGUUUGAAUCUUUUUAUUAUCAUUAAACUUAGAAAAAUAAAGAGUUGCAGAAGAAGGACGAUUUCAUAUUGGUGUUAAAGCACGUCGGAAACUUUUUGUCUGCAGUUUGCUUAUUACUGUUAAGACUAGUUUUGUGGUCUUUAUGAUGUUACUUGUUAUUAUUGGGGCCUAAUGCAAAUUAUCUUAUGGGCCUAGGUUAUGUUACAUCUAUUUCUAAGAUUAGUCCAUUCUUAUUUUGACAAAGUGUUUUUAGGACUAUUACAUAUAGUUAUUAUUGUAGCAAAUCUAGAUUGGAAGUAUUUCUUUUUUAUCAUGUAGUUUAGUUAGCAAUGGCAUCCCUAUACUUUGUAAAUAUCGUAAAUAAAUGUGGAGCUAUUUAAUUUUUA